rnacentral:rRNA from 1 species
CCUACGGGCGGCUGCAGUGGGGAAUAUUGGACAAUGGGGGGAACCCUGAUCCAGCCAUGCCGCGUGUGUGAAGAAGGCCCUCGGGUUGUAAAGCACUUUCAGUGAGGAAGAACGCCUGGUGGUUAAUACCCAUCAGGAAAGACAUCACUCACAGAAGAAGCACCGGCUAACGCCGUGCCAGCAGCCGCGGUAAUACGGAGGGUGCGAGCGUUAAUCGGAAUUACUGGGCGUAAAGCGCGCGUAGGUGGCUUGAUAAGCCGGUUGUGAAAGCCCCGGGCUCAACCUGGGAACGGCAUCCGGAACUGUCAAGCUAGAGUGCAGGAGAGGAAGGUAGAAUUCCCGGUGUAGCGGUGAAAUGCGUAGAGAUCGGGAGGAAUACCAGUGGCGAAGGCGGCCUUCUGGACUGACACUGACACUGAGGUGCGAAAGCGUGGGUAGCAAACAGGAUUAGAUACCCCAGUAGUC